AAAAUUUAACACUUUGUUUAUUUAAGCAUUAAUGAACCUUCCACCAAAAAGGGGACAAAUGGAAACCAAAUUAUGCGAAUAACCAAAACACCAACGGAAGACAAUACAGAGGGAAAUACGAAUAUACCAGGCUAACAACAAAUUGGGCCACGCGAAGGAUGUCAUUUUUGUAUCAAAUCAAGCUCAGUGCGGCGGACAACAGAGCGGUGGAUGGAUAGUCCAGCGUCCAUCGUAUUGGUUGUGUUAAUUGAUGGAUGCAUUGAUUCAUGCUUUUUCACACUGUAACACCAAUGCUUUCAGACUUCUUAACACGCUGUGUAAACCUAAGUGGUUUCCCGGUAAUUCGUUAAAAUACAUGAUUUGUUUCCAUGUUGAAAUAAAAUGAUUUCAAUUAAGUGUAAUGUUUGAUGGUCAAUUUUUGAUUGCAGAUGAAUUCCUUUUUUUUUUGUGAAUAAUAUAUCCCAGUCUUGAAGGGAAUUAGAUCGACCUUGCCUCAUUGAAAUUCAGCAGCAGCGUCUACUUAUUGGGUUCUAUCUUGAGAAUCCGGCACGCAACUCCACAGGGAUGGAGCGGGGGGAUUCUGGCUGACGACCUGUCGACCGACUUACUACUACGGGGGUGGUGUUGUUCAGGUGUAAUGUGAAAAUAUUACUUACUCCAAAACUCUCCUAGUAAACAGGGGG